CACGUAGUUGGCCGGGCCUUCUUCUGCAGGUACCGUCAAUUUCGUCCCUGCUGAAAGCGGUUUACAACCCGAAGGCCUUCAUCCCGCACGCGGCGUCGCUGCGUCAGGGUUUCCCCCAUUGCGCAAGAUUCCCCACUGCUGCCUCCCGUAGGAGUCUGGGCCGUGUCUCAGUCCCAGUGUGGCUGAUCGUCCUCUCAGACCAGCUAUCCGUCGUCGCCUUGGUAGGCCGUUACCCCACCAACAAGCUGAUAGACCGCGAGCCCAUCCCAAAGCGGAAUCCAUUUCCUCACCAGACCAUGCGACCCGGUGAGGGCAUCCGGUAUUAGUCCGAGUUUCCUCGGGUUGUCCCGGUCUUUGGGGCAGGUUGCUCACGUGUUACGCACCCGUUCGCCGCUGUCCCAGGGCAAGCCCUGGUUCUCGCUCGACUUGCAUGUGUUAGGCGCGCCGCCAGCGUUCGUCCUGAGCCAGGAUCAAACUCU
rnacentral:rRNA from 1 species